CCUACGGGUGGCAGCAGUGAGGAAUAUUGGUCAAUGGGCGAGAGCCUGAACCAGCCAAGUCGCGUGAGGGAAGACGGUCCUAUGGAUUGUAAACCUCUUUUGUCGGGGAGCAAAAAGGCCUCGUGAGGCCACAAGUGAGAGUACCCGAAGAAAAAGCAUCGGCUAACUCCGUGCCAGCAGCCGCGGUAAUACGGAGGAUGCGAGCGUUAUCCGGAUUUAUUGGGUUUAAAGGGUGCGCAGGCGGGAGAUCAAGUCAGCGGUAAAAUGUCGGGGCUCAACCCCGGCCGGCCGUUGAAACUGGGUUUCUAGAGUUGGAGAGAAGUAUGCGGAAUUCGUGGUGUAGCGGUGAAAUGCAUAGAUAUCACGAAGAACUCCGAUUGCGAAGGCAGCAUACCGGCUCCAUACUGACGCUGAGGCACGAAAGCGUGGGGAUCGAACAGGAUUAGAUACCCGUGUAGUC
rnacentral:rRNA from 1 species